rnacentral:rRNA from 1 species
GUGGGGAAUUUUGGACAAUGGGGGCAACCCUGAUCCAGCCAUCCCGCGUGUGCGAUGAAGGCCUUCGGGUUGUAAAGCACUUUUGGCAGGAAAGAAAUCGCACGGGAUAAUACCUCGUGUGGAUGACGGUACCUGCAGAAUAAGCACCGGCUAACUACGUGCCAGCAGCCGCGGUAAUACGUAGGGUGCAAGCGUUAAUCGGAAUUACUGGGCGUAAAGCGUGCGCAGGCGGUCCGGAAAGAAAGAUGUGAAAUCCCAGGGCUUAACCUUGGAACUGCAUUUUUAACUACCGGGCUAGAGUGUGUCAGAGGGGGGUGGAAUUCCGCGUGUAGCAGUGAAAUGCGUAGAUAUGCGGAGGAACACCGAUGGCGAAGGCAGCCCCCUGGGAUAACACUGACGCUCAUGCACGAAAGCGUGGGGAGCAAACAGGAUUAGAAACCCCGGUAGUCC